rnacentral:rRNA from 1 species
UACGUAGGGACCAAGCGUUGUUCGGAUUUACUGGGCGUAAAGGGCGCGUAGGCGGCGUGGUAGGUCACUUGUGAAAUCUCCGAGCUUAACUCGGAACGGUCAAGUGAUACUGCUGUGCUAGAGUGCAGAAGGGGCAAUCGGAAUUCUUGGUGUAGCGGUGAAAUGCGCAGAUAUCAGGAGGAACACCGGUGGCGAAGGCGGGUCUCUGGGCAACAACUGACGCUGAGGAGCGAAAGCGUGGGGAGCGAACAGG